rnacentral:lncRNA from 1 species
CGGAUUUGUGUGACUUUAAACGAUUAAGUAAUAUCUUUGCAUUAUAAAAUUUAAAACUAUUCUUAAAAAAGUUUCAUUUACAAAUGGAUAGCAUCUAUACUAACAUUUUCGAAGUACCUUUUGGAAAGUAAUAUUUUAUGUUUUCUUCUUGUUCUUUGCCUUAACGCCCAUUCUGGGACGAGUUGGAAGAGGAAUUCCUAAUUCUUACAUGGAUGAGACUGAUCACACCUAAUCAGUGAAAAAAUAUGUCACCAGUCAUUUACAUAUUACACCAAAAAUUGACAAGCGGAUAAGUUUUCUAGUAAUUGACAAACAAACUUCAUUAAUGAUGCAAACUUAAACAGACUUUUUAACAGUACCCUACUCAUCGCUCUCUUGAUCGUCUUCGUCAUAAAUGAUGCAAAAUUAAACAAAAUUUUACAGACCCUACCAAAUGUGAUAUUUGAUUUGACCGUGGGUAAUUUAAAAAUCUCAUCAGCCUUAUCUAAAUCCUCUAUAAAUACAUCAAAUUCGUGGACAAAAUGACUUCAAC